UACGUAGGCAGCGAGCGUUGUUCGGAGUUACUGGGCGUAAAGGGUGCGUAGGCGGUUGUUUAAGUUUGGUGUGAAAUCUCCCGGCUCAACUGGGAGGUGCGCCGAAUACUGAAUGACUAGAGUGCGGGAGAGGAGAGUGGAAUUCCUGGUGUAGCGGUGAAAUGCGUAGAUAUCUGGAAGAACACCAAUGGCGGAAGGCAAUGUUCUGGCUCGUUUCUGACGCUCAGGUGCGAAAGCCAGGGGAGCGAACGGG
rnacentral:rRNA from 1 species